AGUGAACGCUGGCGGUAGGCCUAACACAUGCAAGUCGAACGGCAGCACAGUAAGAGCUUGCUCUUACGGGUGGCGAGUGGCGGACGGGUGAGGAAUACAUCGGAAUCUACUUUUUCGUGGGGGAUAACGUAGGGAAACUUACGCUAAUACCGCAUACGACCUACGGGUGAAAGCAGGGGAUCUUCGGACCUUGCGCGAUUGAAUGAGCCGAUGUCGGAUUAGCUAGUUGGCGGGGUAAAGGCCCACCAAGGCGACGAUCCGUAGCUGGUCUGAGAGGAUGAUCCGCCACACUGGAACUGAGAAACGGUCCAGACUCCUACGGGAGGCAGCAGUGGGGAAUAUUGGACAAUGGGCGAAAGCCGGAUCCAGCCAUACCGCGUGGGUGAAGAAGGCCUUCGGGUUGUAAAGCCCUUUUGUUGGGAAAGAAAAGCAGCAGGUUAAUACCCCGCUGUUCUGACGGUACCCAAAGAAUAAGCACCGGCUAACUUCGUG
rnacentral:rRNA from 1 species